AGAGUUUGAUCAUGGCUCAGAACGAACGCUGGCGGCAUGCCUAACACAUGCAAGUCGAACGAGACCUUCGGGUCUAGUGGCGCACGGGUGCGUAACGCGUGGGAAUCUGCCCUUCGGUUCGGAAUAACUCAGGGAAACUUGAGCUAAUACCGGAUAAUGACGUAAGUCCAAAGAUUUAUCGCCGAAGGAUGAGCCCGCGUAGGAUUAGCUUGUUGGUGGGGUAAUGGCCCACCAAGGCGACGAUCCUUAGCUGGUCUGAGAGGAUGAUCAGCCACACUGGGACUGAGACACGGCCCAGACUCCUACGGGAGGCAGCAGUGGGAAUAUUGGACAAUGGGCGAAAGCCUGAUCCAGCAAUGCCGCGUGAGUGAUGAAGGCCUUAGGGUUGUAAAGCUCUUUUACCCGGGAUGAUAAUGACAGUACCGGGAGAAUAAGCUCCGGCUAACUCCGUG
rnacentral:rRNA from 1 species